GAUCAUCUGAUUUGAAUACACACUGAACAAGCUGCACACAUGUAUACACCCGACCUGCAUGAUGAGGGACGUGCUUGUGGCCACAUUGGGCUCCUUGGACUGCAGCUGUCGGUGGGAGUAGUUGAGUCCGUCCCAGGACGCGCUGACCAUGUUGACCACGUUAGCAUGGACCACCGUGAAGUAUAACCAGCCUCUGAACCAAGAUGCCCCGCUCUGCAGCCAAGUCCCAAGCUGAAAAGCAAAAUCGUAGGACGUCCGUCCAAGCUAACACACCUGUAACACAGGACCUGGAAGUGGAAGACAUUAUCCCUGGUCGCUUAACUCUGGCCCAAUGGACAGACAUGUUGAUCCAGGAGGAUGCAGAUGAAGCAGUGGGAGAGAUCAUGGAGGAGCUGUUGAGCAAAGUCAUGGAAGGCUGUUUCAAAGUGUACAUUAAGAGACAGAUGGCACCUUUCUCUGCAUCUUGGGCCAAGAGCUACCUCACACAGAUUCUAGAGCAACAAAUCCUGUGCCCAGAUAAAGGGGGAGGACCAGAGGAAGCAUCUAAAACAGAGGACUCGGAGCCUAUGCCAGCAACUUCAGAUGCAUGGGUUCAAGGAUGUGUGCCUGUUGUAUAUGCUACCCCUCGACCUGAUCCCGCCUCACAUCAGGAUGAUGACAUUGGUGAGGUCCCAGUACAAACAGAGCCAAGAGUCAACCAGCAAUGUAAUGUUAUGGCCCAAACAAAGAGCUCUCCAAAGCAAUCUGAAAAGGAAACAAGUCCCAGGAGGCCUUUCAGUUACAAGCGCUAUGAAGUGCUUAGUCCUCGCCCUCCUCCAAAAACGGAUCUGAAGAAAAGGCAGCAGGUUAAUUUACCACCAGUUUUCAAGCCGGUUCCAAGCAAAUCACUUUCAUCCCUAUCGUCUUCGGCAGAGAAAAAGGAUGUGGAUGUAGAGGGAAAAGAUUGUGUACAUGCUGUUUUUAACCACACAACUGGAUCAUUAUGUCAGCAUAAGAGCUACCAACCAAUACAAAAGCUUGAUCACUCUUGCCUGCCUCAACACUUCAUCGUUCCUCAGUAUGAGAUUGUGGAUAACAACUACACAAAUCCCAACUCCAAGAAACCAGUUGGACUAUCCACACUAGAACCAAGAUAUAAAAAUCAGCAAACUAAGUGGACCGGUGCCUCACUAAAGCAACUAACCAGCUCCAAGGAUCAGCCAACAGAGUUUCAGAGGAGAAAUGAGGCAGACGUAUGGCUGAAGAAAUUGUCCCCCUCUAGACAUAGAAAGGGCGGGGUGGUGUCCUCUGGGCCACUGAGACUGGACACAAUGGUUUUGGCCAAGGGUGUUUCUCUCUUGGAUUCUCAGGCAGUUGAAUUAAACCCUCUGAAAUGCAACCCUCCCACCAGGUCUACCAAGCUGAGGGGGAUACAAAGUGAUGUUGCCGUGCCACUGUUUUCAGUUGAUCAGGUUACCACAGGUCCGCCACCUCAAGUCACCCCAUUGUUUCAGUCCAAGAACUGUGAUAAUUGAUUGUCUGUGGCUCUAUUUAGAGCAGAAUUAAGCAAUAUGUUUUUGAAAUUAAAAUAUCCUUCUUAUACAACAAGUCAUAUAGUGUACGCUGAAGGCUAAAAAAAAUGAGAAUAAGAAAAAUUUGGACCAUUCCAUUCCUAGCAACUCUGCAUUUGCAAUACAAUGUUGUGAGAUACACUGUGCACAUAUACAAUAUAUAUACUUGAUAUACUGAAUACAAUGUAUGCAUGGACGUUUCUUCGUUUUUAUAUCAAUAAAUAAUUAUAAAAUAUAUAAAAAGAAAGCCUAGAUAAGCCUCCCACAGCAUAAAGCAAACAUAUAGUUUGAUAGAAGUUCCUCGUAUAAAAACUACAUCCCUGAACCAAGGAAAUUUAUGGAUUAUGGAAUAUUGAGGCUAAAUUGAUAUUAAGUCUUUGUCCAUAUGCUUUUCAUAUGUAAAGAUUAACAAUAACUGUGAGGCUAAAAUGUGUUUUGGCCAAUUUGGAGAGGGAAGCCGACCCCAGGUGGACAAGUAUAACCUCAUAUCCCACCUGAGGAAAUGCCUCUUUAACCUAAAUAACCGUGCCUGUGAUGGCCUGUGGCAGGAACCUUGGAAGAAGGAUGACUUAUGAAGGGACCUACUGUUAAAACUGCUCCUCAACCUGCAAUUACCACAUCUGUGACACACAACUGCAGCCACACUUCAACAGACCCUGUGGAUCCAAGAUGGGCCUUUACAGCCAAGACCCACUAAUAAUCCAUUUCACCAACAGGAAGACAGUCAUCCUCGACUAUGAGUGAUUGACAAUGAUGCUGAUUUUAUAAAUGCAUUUCCUGUGCCUUCAUAUAGCAGAUGUUGUCAGUUCAUUACUUUGUCUUUCAGUGGCUCUAGAGAGCACCAAUCGCACGGGAGACUGCUCAUGCAACCUAUCUUGUUGAAGCCGG